rnacentral:rRNA from 1 species
UACGUAGGGGGCAAGCGUUGUUCGGAAUUACUGGGCGGAAAGGGCGCGUAGGCGGCACGGCAAGUCAGGAGUGAAAGGCCUGGGCUCAACCGAGGAACUGCUUUUGAGACUGCCGAGCUAGAGUGCAGAAGGGGCAACUGGAAUUCCCAGUGUAGCGGUGAGAUGCGUAGAUAUUGGGAAGAACACCUGAGGCGAAAGCGGCUCACUGGACCCAAUCUGACACUGAGGUGCGAAAGCUAGGGUAGCAAACGGG